rnacentral:rRNA from 1 species
UAGCUUGCUAAUAAUUCUCUAGUGGCGCACGGGUGAGUAACACGUGAGUAACCUGCCCCCAAGAGUGGGAUAGCCCCGGGAAACUGGGAUUAAUACCGCAUAAAAUCGCAAGAUUAAAGCAGCAAUGCGCUUGGGGAUGGGCUCGCGUCCUAUUAGUUAGUUGGUGAGGUAACGGCUCACCAAGGCGAUGACGGGUAGCCGGUCUGAGAGGAUGUCCGGCCACACUGGAACUGAGACACGGUCCAGACACCUACGGGUGGCAGCAGUCGAGAAUCAUUCACAAUGGGGGAAACCCUGAUGGUGCGACGCCGCGUGGGGGAAUGAAGGUCUUCGGAUUGUAAACCCCUGUCAUGUGGGAGCAAAUUAAAAAGAUAGUACCACAAGAGGAAGAGACGGCUAACUCUGUGCCAGCAGCCGCGGUAAUACAGAGGUCUCAAGCGUUGUUCGGAAUCACUGGGCGUAAAGCGUGCGUAGGCGGUUUCGUAAGUCGUGUGUGAAAGGCGGGGGCUCAACCCCCGGACUGCACAUGAUACUGCGAGACUAGAGUAAUGGAGGGGGAACCGGAAUUCUCGGUGUAGCAGUGAAAUGCGUAGAUAUCGAGAGGAACACUCGUGGCGAAGGCGGGUUCCUGGACAUUAACUGACGCUGAGGCACGAAGGCCAGGGGAGCGAAAGGGAUUAGAUACCCCUGUAGUCCUGGCAGUAAACGG